GCGCCUCGUGAAUUCAUCUCCGGGGGUAGAGCACUGUUUCGGCUAGGGGGCCAUCCCGGCUUACCAACCCGAUGCAAACUGCGAAUACCGGAGAAUGUUAUCACGGGAGACACACGGCGGGUGCUAACGUCCGUCGUGAAGAGGGAAACAACCCAGACCGCCAGCUAAGGUCCCAAAGUCAUGGUUAAGUGGGAAACGAUGUGGGAAGGCCCAGACAGCCAGGAUGUUGGCUUAGAAGCAGCCAUCAUUUAAAGAAAGCGUAAUAGCUCACUGGUCGAGUCGGCCUGCGCGGAAGAUGUAACGGGGCUAAACCAUGCACCGAAGCUGCGGCAGCGACACUGUGUGUUGUUGGGUAGGGGAGCGUUCUGUAAGCCUGUGAAGGUGUGUCGUGAGGCAUGCUGGAGGUAUCAGAAGUGCGAAUGCUGACAUAAGUAACGAUAAAGCGGGUGAAAAGCCCGCUCGCCGGAAGACCAAGGGUUCCUGUCCAACGUUAAUCGGGGCAGGGUGAGUCGACCCCUAAGGCGAGGCCGAAAGGCGUAGUCGAUGGGAAACGGGUUAAUAUUCCCGUACUUGGUGUUACUGCGAAGGGGGGACGGAGAAGGCUAUGUUGGCCGGG
rnacentral:rRNA from 1 species